ACCCAAUUCCAUUGUUCUAGCUCGGUCAGGAGAGCAUGAGACUCUUAAUCUCAGGGUUGUGGGUCUGAGCCCCACAUUGGGCG